UACGGGGGGAGCAAGCGUUGUUCGGAUUUACUGGGCGUAAAGCGCGCGUAGGCGGACCUGCAAGUCGGGGGUGAAAGCCCGAGGCUCAACCUCGGAACUGCCUUCGAUACUGCGGGUCUCGAGUCCGGGAGAGGUGAGUGGAAUUCCUAGUGUAGAGGUGAAAUUCGUAGAUAUUAGGAAGAACACCAGUGGCGAAGGCGGCUCACUGGCCCGAUACUGACGCUGAGGCACGAAAGCGUGGGGAGCAAACAGG
rnacentral:rRNA from 1 species